rfam:Capsaspora owczarzaki ATCC 30864 unplaced genomic scaffold supercont2.5, whole genome shotgun sequence.
GGGUCCAUCGUAUAGUGGUAUUAUGCACGCUUCGGGUGCGUGAGGUCAGGGGUUCGAUUCCCCUUGGACCCC